rnacentral:hammerhead_ribozyme from 1 species
AUCCAGUUGACAAGUCCUAAAUAGGACGAAACGCGUGUCCUGGAU